CAUCUUUGUGCUGCUUGCACCCAUCAGCCUCUAAAAGAAACAUGAUGUGCCCUAAAAAGACGAAACCUGGGGUCAUUCGCCCGAUGACAGCCAUUCCAAGACUGACGGUAAAGGAUGACGAUGAAUUUCGGUCCAGUCCUUGCAGGCAGGUUUGCAAACAAACCUCAGCUGACAAGAAAAAGGGCAGACAGUUCAAAAGGCGGAGAGGGGCUGACCAGACAAAAAAUCUUGACCCCCCCAUGGUGAUCAGGUGAAGAAGAGAAGCUGAGAUUAUAGGUGGGAAUAUAAUCCUGGAAGAGCAAGAAUAUACAGAGG